rnacentral:sRNA from 1 species
CAACUUUGCUUUAAUAUAGCCAGGGAAGCCAAAAGAUUGGAUAUCCCUGCUUUAUACCAAGAAAGACGACACCCCGCAUUUGCAAUGCCUAAAAACACUACCAGCCAUCUGAAAAACAUGAGACUUCUAACUUCUGUUCUUUUUUGUAGCAGUGGAAUCCCACGGUGAUAUCUGAGGGAUGUGGUUACCUUUUGGAGGAGGUUGAUGAUUUCUAAGGAUGAUUCUUUCUGAGUGAAAUAUUGUCAGUGUCAUUGACCUUUUCAUUAUUUCAACUAUUAUUAUUCCAGGUUAUCAAUUCUGUGCCUGAUGAUUUUCAUCCUGGGACUGACUUUUGUGGAAUUCCUUGGAUAGUUAUCAUUAUUGUGUUUCUGGGACUUUCUACACUUGCCAUUUUCCUCUGGAAAACUAGCCUUUGUGUGUCGUUCCUCAAGACUGUCUUAAAGUCACAAAAUGUACAUGACGGAUCCAAGGAUGUACAGCGGAAAGCCUGGAGGUCCAAUAGCCGUAGCCGGGAAG